AAAGUGAAAUGAUCAUCAACAGACUGUUUAAGUCGUCGAUGGUCUGGGACUGAUUAGUCAGCUAUAGAUAGAUACUCAACAAGAAUAGAGAGGAAUUGUUAGGUCGAUACACUGACUUGUCUUCACAUAAAUUCGACUUUAAAAUGUUUUAUUCAAAUUCAUGGACCAAGUGCUUGAUAUACCUUAUCUUUAUAACAAGUGGAAAUUCUGAAUGUCCCAAACCACAAGUGGAGAGAAAUCAAAAUGUCGUUCUAACGAAUGAUGCGCUCUUAAAGAACGAUUUUCCGGAGGGCUCGGAAGUAUUGUUUCAAUGUACCAACGGCUACAUGAAAGCGCAAGGAUCUGAAAGCAUCACCUGCACGAGUGGAGAGUGGAGCACCCUGGAAUUAAUCUGCAAAAAGAAGGACUGCGGUGCACCCAAGGAGAUGCCACAUUUGACAUACGAGUUUGAUAAGGAAGGGACGCUUUUUGGUGCAUCAGCAAGAGCAAUUUGUGAUAAAGGCUAUCAAAUUCAGGGAUCAAGUUACAGGCAGUGUUAUGCCACAGGUUGGAGUGGAAGAUCAAGAUGUGAAGUGGUAACUUGUGAAGAACCUAUUGAUAUAAUGAAUGGCAUGAUCUCAGAGAAGCCUGACAAACAGUUUCCAGAGUAUGGGGAUGUCAUACAGUAUUCCUGUGAUGAAGGUUACACCCUCAUUGGAAACAAAUCCAUUGAGUGUGAAGAAGAUGGUGAAUACAACUCAUUCCUUCCUGAAUGCAAAGAUGUCAAUGACCUUCCUUUGAAACCAACAACCAUAUCAGCAUCAAUGACAACAUCGACUGUUGCACCCACAAUACAAGUUUCAGGGAGAGAUCAUGGUAUUGGUGAACAUGACAUCAACGCAGCUACAAGGAAUGCAGCAGCCGUGGGAAGUGUGAUCGGCAUAGUCAUAGUCAUAGUUACACUUGUGCUGUUCGUGUAUUAUUGUUUUCAGAAGAGGAAAGGCUCCUACCAGACAGGAGAAGACUCAAGAAGAAAAGAGGAGUUAUUACAAUUUCAAAAUGACUAAGUUGAAUGCCUACCCAAGGGCUAGGACUGCUCCUAUCUGCUAGUCUGGCAUCUGUGUCCUUGAAAAGAAGUGCCCAGUAAUUGUCUCAGACCAUUCCCUGGUUGAACAAAGCCACUUAAUUUACAGUGCCCUUUACAUAUGUGACAUUACUGAAUGGAAGUUAUAAUUGUACUUUUUUUAUGAUGUAAAUAUUUUUUGAAAGUCAAUGUAAAUGUUUUAACCCAAUGUUUAAUGUAUUUAUAUUGAAAACUGGAACAUGUGUAAUAAAAAGCUUUUUGCCUUGUCAAAUACCAUAUGUCUACAAAUUGCUAGUCAGCUGUGUUGAGUGGGCAGAAGGCCCUGUAAUAAGAUUAAUGCACUAAACAAAAUGUAUGAUUGAGGCUCAAAGGCUGAUCAUCUUUGACCAUUCCAAAAUGUGUGCGGAAUGAUUGCGGCUCAAAGGAAAAUAAUCUGGGUCUGGUAACGCGGACAUUCCUGUUAAAUCUAACGUUACUGUAUUUAUUUUCAAGUAGGCUCAAUGUGGGUCUGGGAAACCAGCUCAUAUUCAUUUACAGGCCCCAAAUGUGUGAUUUAAAUGAAAGGUUCGCCCAUUUUGAAUGUUAUAUUUUUUUUGGUGCAUCUGAGUUCUAUCGAUUCCCUGGAUCUUUUCAUGUGUAUCCGAGGUUUUGGUGUUCAAGCAGGCAGACAUGUGGCCGGUAUUACGUAGCACUGUGAUAAAGUCCCUCUCAUUACACUGGAAGUUAAUAGGAAUACAACUCUUAGAUCGCGAAAAUGUCUAUCAUACAUGUAAUACUGGUCGACGUCACAACUCGGGAGGAUGUCUUCGUUCGAAUGAGUGAUGGAUCAUAUUUUUGCGAUAUUUCUACCUCGAGAAAUGUUUAAUUUGACUAAUGGUCUAGCAUAUUGUUCAUAUUUGUCUCUAGUCCAGGGUGCAUUGCAUGGUGCUGUUGCCAAAGAUCUUAUAGAAAUUCGUGCUAAUGUAGUUUUUUUAGCUAGAGCCCAAUAGACUCCCAUUCACUCCUUCAAGGAGAGCGCGUCUUAUCGCAGAAUUGCCCAGAAUGCACCGCGCGGCUCCUUGGUGUAGCUUGGUCAGCGUUCCCCAUCUCAUCUGCCGUUGCGAAUGUUAUACUCCAUUCUUUGAGGCACAUCGAUCUGCAGGUUGAACGUGGUCCCAGCAUGAGGCUUCUGGUAUCUGAUGCAAUGGAGACAUUGAGGCAAAACGUCAAUAAGUAACGCUUCACAACAGGGGACUGUACUUGGUGAAAAUUCCUAAAUGAUGCAAAUAUUUAUUUCUGUUCUGGUUACACGUAUUUCAUAGAUGAUCAAAAUAAAUAAAUGUACACAUGUAGGCUACAGUAUGCUAAAAAAAUACCUCCAUACUGUACCUUCCCCCUCACCUGGAUAUAGACGGGUUAUAUGUGUAGUCUUUGUUGACAGCAGUUAUAGGGCUAGAUGCAAAAGCUGCUCUCAAGGUACAGUUAAUAUAAAUCUGCAACACAACAAUAAGGCAACAAGUAGCAGUGAUAACUAUGGCCAUGGGUCUUUACUGAUAGGCCACCACAGAUACAGUAUAUGAUGUUAGGAAUGUGUGACUUUUUUCAUAAAUGAUUUUAUAAUCUCACUUUUGAUAUGUCCAUGUUUGAAAGCGGAAGGCAUCCAGAAUAAUUUUCAGAGUUCUGCUGUCCUCUCUAGCGAAGCUGAAGUCAGACAGAGAGACAUGCAUUUUGCCAUCUACAAAGCAACUGGAGAGAAACCAGUCCACAUCACAAAGAAAAAUAAAUUCAAUCAUGGCAAGGAAAGAGGAAGAAAUUGAGAUUGAUGGAAAAUAUGUACGUGGGUGCUUCCUAUGACUUUACCCGUGGCCAGAAAUGAAGGUAUUGAAUGGGAUUGUUUGCAGUUGGCAGUUUAACAGUUACCUGUUAAAUUUAGGUUCUCUUGAUGGACAUUUUUUUAUUUGAUGGCCUUCAUCCAUGAUUGAUUAAUUUAAGCACUGUCUUAACCAUCUCUUCACAAUUCCUUAACAAUCAUCAUUUUAAGAGUGCUCUAACAAACUUAAUCAGUAUUUUUAGACACUAACAGCUGUGCUUAUGAAGGCACAUUUUGCCAUCUCUUUACUGGGUACAUUAUUUUGUUACAUACAGUACAGCUCGGGUCUAACACUGUGUGCACAGAUGUACAAGAACACAGCCCUAUAUGCAAGAUCGCACCAGCGUACAGAGUCAAAUUAUCUGUGUUAUAAAAACAUUGCAUUUCAAAUAUGGGGUAUAUGCACUUCACAGGCAGCUGGGGUUGUGUUGGUACAAACAAUGACCUCAAAACUGAUGGAGCGGUAGAACAGUGUUUUGAAGUAGAUAACCCCCUUUGUCAUCUGGUUGGCUGGAUGGAGGGAGGACAACAUGUAGGCUAAUGCAUAGCAGUUAAGGUUAAUACACAUAAUAAAUAUUUGGAUUUAACAAAUUAAUCAAAUUAUAUUCUUGCCAUUUUAGAUUAAUCAAUGUCUGUCAAUUAGACAGACUGAUUAGACAUUUUCUAUUACCAUACUUAGUGUAUGAUGGUGAUGGGCUGUGUUGCCUGUCUUCACAGUGAAAGGCUGCCGCCUUGUGGUAUUAGUACGGGUUAGUGAUAAAUCUGCAAACUACUGCUCUGCAUACCGAGUGAUGUUUCCAAAGGGUAAGUAAAAUAGAUCCACUCGGGAGACAAGCAACCGAUCCCACCCUUAUGAAAAAAGAUUACAGUCAGAGUGCAGUAUGCUGCAAAUAUUUUUUUACUGCAGUCAUUUUGCAGUGUAACCGAUCAAGGAACAGAAGAAGCGAGAGGUAAAACAACCCAAAAUCGGUCUUCUCCAGCAGGGGGCGUACAUGACCCAUCAAGUUAGCCAGGUGUGUCUGACGGUGAUUACGGCUAUCGUAUAAUAAUGCUCAAAUAUUUGUAUCUGGAAUUUGUCUUUCAGCAUCAGUAGAACACACCCGACUCUCCACCAGUCAUACAUGGAGAAUGGUCUAAUGCCUCCCAUCGAAAAGAGAGCUGGCCCAAGCAAGCAUGAGGACUUGCAGCAAGUUGUGAACUUAAUCAACAACUACACAGAGGAUAAUGCAAUAAUAUUACCAGGACACAAACACUUCGGUGGAAAGCUGCUGCCAUCCCAUGUGACAAUAGCAGCGAUGUGGCAUCUCUACAAAGAAUCGAUGACAUCACUUGAGGCUCCACCACAGUCUGGACCUUCACUUCCUGAUCACAGGCCACACCUGGCUUCAGCCUCAUCAAGCAGCGCUUCAGAAAGACCAGAGUGAUGUUGUGAAACGGCACUGUGACAGGGGUCAUCACAUGCCCUGCACCAAAGUCAAGGGCAGGACAGAAACAGGCUCUCCGAAUAUAGAUUCCCUUGUUCCAUGUGUGGUUCGGAUGGAUCUGUCAUCAGCACUAUCUGCAGUGCCUCUAUUCAUAUGACUCUCCUAACAUACGUUGCUGCUACUAUUUUUUUUUUAUCCUGCUGCUCAGCCACUUGACCCCUGAUGGUAUGCAUAUAACUACCUCAUCUAUCACUGAUAUCGUCAUUGAUAUUGUUCUGUAUAUUAUUUUAUAUAUAUUGACACUAUAUAUAUAUAUCUGAUGUUGCUACUAUGCAAGUAACCAUUUGGCUGUAUCGUUUACACCUCCUGUAGAGACCCAUCCACUUAGCAAGAUGUGGCUGGGGGUUAUAGCAUUUCUUUCACAUGACCCAUCAAGUUAGACAAGUGUGUCUGGGUAAGCGUCAUCUAAUAUUUAUAAAAUAUUUUUUUUAUCUGGA